rnacentral:rRNA from 13 species
GAUCCCAUCCCGAACUCAGCAGUGAAACGAUGCAUCGCCGAUGGUAGUGUGGGGUUUCCCCAUGUGAGAGUAGGUCAUCGUCAAGA